GCCCUGUUCGUUUGCUCACCCAGGUGAUCCAUCUGGGUGAAGAUGCAAAUUGAUGUUCGUUUUGUGCAUUAUAAUGCUACAUCCAGAUGGAUCACCCAGCUGAAUUUUUCAAAACUCAUCUCAAAUUCUCACCCAAAUGAAGGUGAGUCUUGAUGGUGCAUCUGGAUGCAGAUGCAUCUAGUUCAGUCCAAAAUGAUAAAUGACAAAAAUGACCUUUUAAAAUCAAAAUAUUAUUUUCAAAUCGUAAAUUCUAUUUUU
rnacentral:lncRNA from 1 species